rnacentral:rRNA from 1 species
AAGUCGUAACAAGGUUUCCGUAGGUGAACCUGCGGAAGGAUCAUUAUAGAUUCGCCGGAUGUGCUGGCGUGUAAUAACCGCGCAUGUGCACUCCGUUAACCUCUCAUACCCCUGUGCACUUCGGACGCGCGACCCUCGAGGUCGUGGCGUAUCUUUACAAAACCUUACGAACACACGUAAUUGAAGCGUCGAUACAAUAAACUGUACAACCAUCAGCAACGGAUCUCUUGGCAUCUCAAUCGAUGAAGAACGUAGCGAAUUGCGAUAAGUAAUGUGAAUUGCAGAAUUCAGUGAAUCAUCGAAUCUUUGAACGCACCUUGCACCCUCUGGCAUUCCGGAGGGUAUACUCGGUUGAGUGUUUUGAAUAUCUCAAUCUCUAGGUUUCUAUAUGGCCCUCGAGUGUAUGUGACCUCGCUCAUUUGGAGCGUGGUCUGUCCUCGUGGGUGAUUCCUUGAGACUUGGAUUUGAGCUUUGUCGGCUUCAGUCGACCGGCUUGAAAUGCAUUAGCUGGACCAGUUGUGGCCUUCGCCUCGGUGUGAUAAGUCUUGAUCGCCGUAAGGAGUCACGCCUCGGACCGCUUCUAAUCGUCUCUAGACAACACUCUGAUCUUUACACCUCAACUCGAGUAGGACUACCCGCUGAACUUAAGCAUAUCACUAAGCGGAGGAAAAGAAACUAACAAGGAUUCCCCUAGUAACGGCGAGUGAAGCGGGAAGAGCCCAAAUUUGAAAUCUGGCGGUCUACGGCCGUCCGAGUUGUAAAUUAGAGAAGCGUUUUCUGUGCCGGACCCAUCAUAAGUCACCUUGAAUGGUGCUCCACAGAGGGUGAAAGUCCCGUGCUUUGAUGGGAACCACCGGUGCCAUGUGAUGCGCUCUCGACGAGUCGAGUAGUUUGUGAAUGCUGCUCUAAAUGGGAGGUAAAUUCCUUCUAAGGCUAAAUAUCUUGGGAUGACCGAUAGCGAACAAGUACCGUGAGGGAAAGAUGAAAAGAACUUUGGAAAGAGAGUUAAACAGUACGUGAAAUUGCUGGUGGGGAAACGCUUGAAGUCAGUCACGUCUUCUGGGAUUCAGCCUUGCUUCUGUGAGGUGCACUUUCCGGUCGACGGGCCAGCGUUCAUUUCGACCGUCGGAAAAGAGCAGAUUGAAUGUGGCAGCCUCGGCUGUGUUUAUAGCCUUCUGUUGUACGCCUCGGUCGGGAUGGAUCCAACGGCAUGCUUUCUGUGGUGCCUGUGCUGGCGUAAUGGCUUUAAACGACC